rnacentral:rRNA from 1 species
UACAGAGGGUGCAAGCGUUGUUCGGAAUUAUUGGGCGUAAAGAGCUCGUAGGCGGUUUGUCGCGUCUGCUGUGAAAACUCAGGGCUUAACCCUGAGCCUGCAGUGGGUACGGGCAGACUAGAGUGUGGUAGGGGAGAUCGGAAUUCCUGGUGUAGCGGUGGAAUGCGCAGAUAUCAGGAGGAACACCUGUGGCGAAAGCGGCUCACUGGACCAUAACUGACGCUGAUGCACGAAAGCUAGGGGAGCAAACAGG